rnacentral:ncRNA from 2 species
GCGGAAUCUCGGGGCGGGGUGGAAUUCCCCACCGGCGGUGAUGGCGCGAAAGCGCACGAGCCCGCGGGCGCUCGCUGCCACAGCAGCGAGGACAGCAGAUUCGGUGCGAUUCCGAAGCCGACGGUAGAGUCCGGUUACGAGAGCAGCUGU